rnacentral:rRNA from 1 species
UUGGACAAUGGGGGCAACCCUGAUCCAGCCAUGCCGCGCGUGUGAAGAUGGUCUUCGGAUUUUAAAGCACUCUAAGUUUGGUGGAGGGGUUUUAGGCCAAUACUCUGAAGUUUUGACGUUACCAACAGAAUAAGAACCGGCUCACUCUGUGCCAGCAGCCGCGGUAAUACAGAGGGUGCAAGCGUUAAUCGGAAUUACUGGGCGUAAAGCGCGCGUAGGUGGUUCAGUAAGAUGGGUGUGAAAUCCCCGGGCUUAACCUGGGAGCUGCUUUCAUAACUGCUGAGCUAGAGUACGGUAGAGGGUAGUGGAAUUUCCUGUGUAGCGGUGAAAUGCGUAGAUAUAGGAAGGAACACCAGUGGCGAAGGCGACUACCUGGACUGAUACUGACACUGAGGUGCGAAAGCGUGGGGAGCAAACA